rnacentral:misc_RNA from 1 species
GAUGAAGAACGCAGCGAAAUGCGAUACGUAGUGUGACUUGCAGAAUUCAGUGAAUCAUCGAAUCUUUGAACGCACAUUGCACCUCUCGGUAUUCCGGGAGGUAUGCCUGUUCGAGCGUCAUUUGUACCCUCAAGCUCUGCUUGGUGUUGGGUGUUUGUUCCGCCUCUGUGUGUGAACUCGCCUCAAAACAAUUGGCAGCCGGCGUACUUGUUUCGGAGCGCAGCACAUUUUGCGAUCCAGAUCAACGUACAGCGGCAUCCAAGAAGCCUUAUUUAACGCUCUUGACCUCGGAUCAGGUAGGGAUACCCGCUGAACUUAAGCAUAUCAAUAAGCGGAGGA